rnacentral:rRNA from 1 species
UGCCAGCAGCCGCGGUAAUACGGAGGGUGCAAGCGUUGUCCGGAAUCACUGGGUGUAAAGGGUGUGUAGGCGGGGCCGACAGUCAGAGGUGAAAUCCUACAGCUUAACUGUAGAACUGCCUUUGAUACUUCGGCUCUUGAGUCUCGGAGAGGUCACUAGAAUUCGUGGUGUAGCGGUGAAAUGCGUAGAUAUCACGAGGAAUACCAGAAGCGUAGGCGGGUGGCUGGACGAGUACUGACGCUGAGGCACGAAAGCGUCGGGAGCAAACCGGAUUAGAUA